AUUUCCCAUUCCUAGAAAAAAAAAGGGGGGGGGAACAACAUUGUGAGCCACUAAGUUACAAAGGAGAUAUCCAUGCUUGAAUAACUUGAAGAAAGGAAUGAGGAAAUUGAGUCCUGAAGCCAGAGUAGAGUAGAUAUCUUGGGUCUAGCUGAACUUUCAUAAAGGAGGCAAAAUUUAGUGAGGCACAGUUACAUACCUAGGAUAAAUGUCGCUUUUCAAAUAUACUUUGGAUGCUGCUGAGGAGUUCUUUAGAGAGUUUUGUAACUUGCUUUAUCACCAACAACAUCCUCAUCAAAAUUUGUGAUCAAACAUUUACUAUCUGUUUCCUAUUACAGAAAUGUCAUAACCACCAUAAAGAGAUUGUAUGUUUUUGCCUUGCCACAAAAAGUCAGCAAUCUCUGACAGGAUUGGCCCUCACUUUGUUGCACUAUGGGCAAAAGGCAAGACGGCAUCCUUCCAUUUGAUGUGUAGAGCUGAUAGGACCAGCAUCUGAAUUUCAUUUCAAAAGAAGGCAAGUUGGCCAACCCAGCUGUCUUUUUUCCAAUCCCCUAGCAACAGUUGCCUGAGACAAUGGUGUUAAGGGCUUUGACUACAACCAAUAAGCAGGUUUAUAACUAGGCUGAAAUAUUUGGUGGUAGAAUAACUUGCUUGUUGGAAUCAUUCUGAGACUAUUAAAUCAGAAACAUUGAUAGCAGCUGAAGGAAAUUAAGAGACACCAUCCCACUUAGCCCCUCUAGACCCAAACCUAGGACCGGCUAUUUUUUGGUGUGGUGGAAAACAAGAGGGCACCUUGCACACCUACUCUCCAAUCUCUUUCACAGACAUAACUCACUUAACAUGGCUGGAGGAAAGUUGAUCUUGGUCCCUUAUCUAAAUUCUCUACUACUAACUAUGGCCAGCAUUUCUGGAGGCAAUUUGGAAAACUCAUCUUGAAAAAGAAAGAAGGAAGGAGAGAGGGGCUUCGCUUCCUCAUUUCUGAUGCACAGUUAACUGGGACCAAAUGGUCUGGAGGACUUCCAUUUGGCUGGGUAACCGUGUCCUGUAAAAAGUGGAAAGACUGGGCACGCAGAACCUAAAGGCACUUUGGUUUUAUUGAUGCACAAUAAGUGCAAGUUGAAUAUUCAAUUAUGAGGUUGGAUACAAUGGAUUUAUUUCAACAGAGAAAAUGACACAAGAAUGCAUGAUAUUUCAAAUAGUUGCCCCCAGCAAAAUAAACAGUUGUAGGA